rnacentral:rRNA from 1 species
AGUGAACGCUGGCGGUAGGCCUAACACAUGCAAGUCGAACGGCAGCACAGUAAGAGCUUGCUCUUACGGGUGGCGAGUGGCGGACGGGUGAGGAAUACAUCGGAAUCUACUUUUUCGUGGGGGAUAACGUAGGGAAACUUACGCUAAUACCGCAUACGACCUACGGGUGAAAGCAGGGGAUCUUCGGACCUUGCGCGAUUGAAUGAGCCGAUGUCGGAUUAGCUAGUUGGCGGGGUAAAGGCCCACCAAGGCGACGAUCCGUAGCUGGUCUGAGAGGAUGAUCAGCCACACUGGAACUGAGACAAGGUCCAGACUCCUACGGGAGGCAGCAGUGGGGAAUAUUGGACAAUGGGCGCAAGCCUGAUCCAGCCCUACCGCGUGGGUGAAGAAGGCCUUCGGGUUGCAAAGCCCUUUUGUUGGGAAAGAAAAGCAGCAGGUUAAUACCCCGCUGUUCUGACGGUACCCAAAGAAUAAGCACCGGCUAACUUCGUG